AGAGUUUGAUCCUGGCUCAGGAUGAACGCUAGCUACAGGCUUAACACAUGCAAGUCGAGGGGCAGCAUGAAAGUUUGCUUGCAAACUUUUGAUGGCGACCGGCGCACGGGUGAGUAACACGUAUCCAACCUGCCUCAUACUCGGGGAUAGCCUUUCGAAAGAAAGAUUAAUACCCGAUGUCAUAGUCCUACCGCAUGAUGGGAUUAUUAAAGAAUUUCGGUAUGGGAUGGGGAUGCGUUCCAUUAGUUAGUUGGCGGGGUAACGGCCCACCAAGACAACGAUGGAUAGGGGUUCUGAGAGGAAGGUCCCCCACAUUGGAACUGAGACACGGUCCAAACUCCUACGGGAGGCAGCAGUGAGGAAUAUUGGUCAAUGGACGAGAGUCUGAACCAGCCAAGUAGCGUGAAGGAUGACUGCCCUAUGGGUUGUAAACUUCUUUUAUAUGGGAAUAAAAUGUUCCACGUGUGGGAUUUUGUAUGUACCAUAUGAAUAAGGAUCGGCUAACUCCGUGCCAGCAGCCGCGGUAAUACGGAGGAUCCGAGCGUUAUCCGGAUUUAUUGGGUUUAAAGGGAGCGUAGGUGGAUUGUUAAGUCAGUUGUGAAAGUUUGCGGCUCAACCGUAAAACUGCAGUUGAAACUGGCAGUCUUGAGUACAGUAGAGGUGAGCGGAAUUUCGUGGUGUAGCGGUGAAAUGCUUAGAUAUCACGAAGAACUCCGAUUGCGAAGGCAGCUCACUGGACUGCAACUGACACUGAGGCUCGAAAGUGUGGGUAUCAAACAGGAUUAGAUACCCUGGUAGUCCACACAGUAAACGAUGAAUACUCGCUGUUUGCGAUAUACGGCAAGCGGCCAAGCGAAAGCAUUAAGUAUUCCACCUGGGGAGUACGCCGGCAACGGUGAAACUCAAAGGAAUUGACGGGGGCCCGCACAAGCGGAGGAACAUGUGGUUUAAUUCGAUGAUACGCGAGGAACCUUACCCGGGCUUAAAUUGCACCUGAAUAAUGUGGAAACAUGUUAGCCGUAAGGCAGGUGUGAAGGUGCUGCAUGGUUGUCGUCAGCUCGUGCCGUGAGGUGUCGGCUUAAGUGCCAUAACGAGCGCAACCCUUAUCUUCAGUUACUAACAGGUCAUGCUGAGGACUCUGGAGAGACUGCCGUCGUAAGAUGUGAGGAAGGUGGGGAUGACGUCAAAUCAGCACGGCCCUUACGUCCGGGGCUACACACGUGUUACAAUGGGAGGUACAGAAGGCCGCUACCUGGCGACAGGAUGCCAAUCCCCAAAACCUCUCUCAGUUCGGAUCGAAGUCUGCAACCCGACUUCGUGAAGCUGGAUUCGCUAGUAAUCGCGCAUCAGCCAUGGCGCGGUGAAUACGUUCCCGGGCCUUGCACUCACCGCCCGUCAAG
rnacentral:rRNA from 1 species